GGACCUCUACGUUUUGGAGGAGUGUGAGAUGGAGGUGGACUCUGCCAGGGCUCCCGCCUUACCCUUGGUCCUUCUGGAAUCCAAAGAGUUAGGUGGGGGACCAGCGAAGAGUUCCGCAUCUUCCAACAUAUCAACAGAUCCUCAAGGAUCUGUUGGUGUGACGUGGCAGUCAGCUGCCUGAGGGAAAUAACCGAACCUCGUGGUUGCUGACACGUGCGUCACUCAAAUAAAAUUGCAACACUGCAUAGCGGCAACCGACAUCCCUCGGUUGCAGCUGUCAAAGUUGCGGACAUAUUUAACAUUGACUCAAGAGCCCUCUGUCAAGGGUUGGCUGCUUCCACUGAUGUUGGGGCUCAGCUAUUAACAAGUUGGGACUUGCAGCAUCUCUGGCUCGGCUAGACGAUUCGACUAUCAUCAGGGGCAUAUCAAGAAGGGAACGCCUGCAGGGUGUUGUUUCAACACAUCUCCUGUGGUCUCUACUUGUUGGGCUCCUGGUCGAAUUGGCAGAAGCUGGGUUCAUUGUUGCGGCAUAUGCCGAUGACCUUGUCUUACUUAUCUGAGGUAGUUCAACCAGUGUCAUUUUCUCUACGCGUGACGCUUGGAAAACGAACUGUCUCUAAAACAGGUAGUUCCGUAAGUUGCAACAUUACAAGCUUCCUAGAUUAUUUGACGUUUGGCUCACUGUAUUCGAGCUACUUCAAUAUUGGACAGCGAGCAACUGUUGAACAAACACAUCAACACCCAAUCGAAUAAGACCAAUGUCAUCUUUUGGUCUUCUCGGAGAGUACUUGGUGAUGGAUGGGGCUUCAAACCUCACAAUAUGCACUGGUUGUAUAGUGAGGUGGUGAGGCCUAUCCUAACCUAGCCACAACUGUGGUGUGGCGAACUUUCUUGGAGAAAAACUUCAACAACUCCAUUAUGCUAGAGGAUAGUGGAGUCUGACCCUUGCUAGGAAACCGCUGAGUCUGGUUGCUCUUUGUGCCACUGGCGCAGGAGCACCGAUGGAACUGUUCACUCGACGUAAAAGUGAAGAGUUGAGGACAACAGACUAGAAGACACAAAGUCCGCUUUUCUGAUGGUGAGAGGGACUAGUUUCUUUCGGCAUUUUUGUCGACGUAGCUUAGGGUGUGAGUCACUCCAACUGCAUGAGGAUAAAAAAUGGUCCUGAGGUUCACUCUGCUAGUAGCACUGCACAUAGAAACGGAAGGUGGAGCAGCAAGUUUGACUGUCAAACUGAAGUGUCUUUCCAGUUGUUCAUAACCUGGUUGAAUACAUAUACAUGACAAAUGGCAUGUAGGGUCAUUAAUCAACAUAAAUAACGAAAAUUAGAAAUCUUCGAGUUUCACUUGUAUCUAAGAUGACAUCCAUCUAUUUCAUAAAAAAAGAUAUACUUCUCAAGAGGACAAAACGGAGGGUAUGUUUCAGUGUUGCCAACUGAAAUUGGUUUCUUCAGAUGCACGAAGUUUAAAUGUCAAAUUGAAGUGUCAUUUCAAUUCUUCAUAUCCUAGUUGUAUGAAUGACAAAUGAAAGGCAUCACAUCCCCCAAAAGAUUAAUUUACCCAGAGAAUGAAGGAAGGAAUUUGUUCCAGUGUUGCCAACUGAAAUCAGUAUCUCCAGAUGCACGAAGUUUGACUGUCAAAUUGAAGUGUCAUUUCAGUUGUUCAUAACCUAGUGUAUAAAUGACAAAUGACAGUCAUGCAAGGGCUCCAAUCGGCAUUAUUAUGGAAAACAAGGGAUAAGGUGUAUCUUCAUUUCAAUUGAAUUGAUUUUCCAUCAAUCUAGAUCUAGAUCUUCAAACUUCACCUAAAUCACAUCCCAAAAAUGGUAUACUUACUACGAUAACACAACAGAAGGUUUGUUUCAGAAUUACCAACUGAAAUUGAUUUCUUUAGAUGCAUGAAGUUUAACUGUCAAAAUGAAGUGUUAACUCAGUUGUAUGAAUGGAGGAUGGAAGGUAUGCAAGGACUCAAAUCAAUUCUUCCAUCAAUUUGAUAAUCACAUCCCUCCGAAAAUUACCCAAGCAGAUGGAACCUACAACCGACCGCUGUUAACUAAGUCUAGUCUGGGAGAUAAUUUAUUGCAAAGUGGAGAACAAGUAUAGUGAAAAACAUAGAUUUAAAAUUACUGAAUAUAUAUUUUUUACUGUUUAAAUUGUCUAGAACAUUUUUUUAUGUGUCAUACAGUGUUAUUUAUGUUGAAAGACUGUAUGCCUUCUGAAUAAAUUUUAAUCCUAGA